AAUCAACGCUGGCGGCGUGCCUAACACAUGCAAGUCGAACGCGAAAGUCCCGCAAGGGAUAAGUAGAGUGGCAAACGGGUGAGUAACACGUGGGUGACCUGCCUUCGAGCGGGGGAUAACGUCCCGAAAGGGACGCUAAUACCGCAUGACAUCCUGCCUUUGAACAGGUGGAGAUCAAAGCCGGGGCUCGCAAGACCUGGCACUCGAAGAGGGGCCCGCGCCUGAUUAGCUAGUUGGUGGGGUAACGGCUCACCAAGGCAACGAUCAGUAGCCGGCCUGAGAGGGCGGACGGCCACACUGGGACUGAGACACGGCCCAGACUCCUACGGGAGGCAGCAGUGGGGAAUUGUUCGCAAUGGGCGCAAGCCUGACGACGCAACGCCGCGUGGAGGAUGAAGACCUUCGGGUCGUAAACUCCUUUCGAUCGAGACGAACGGCCUCCGGGUGAACAAUCCGGAGGA
rnacentral:rRNA from 1 species